AACUCUUAGCGGUGGAUCACUCGGCUCGUGCGUCGAUGAAGAACGCAGCUAGCUGCGAGAACUAAUGUGAAUUGCAGGACACAUUGAUCAUCGACCUUUCGAAGCGCACCUUGCGCCCCGGGUCCUCCCGGGGCUACGCCUGUCUGAGAGUCG
ensembl:rRNA 5_8S_rRNA 5.8S ribosomal RNA